UACGUAGGGGGCAAGCGUUGUCCGGAAUUAUUGGGCGUAAAGCGCGUGUAGGCGGCUCGGUAAGUCUGCUGUGAAAGUCCAAGGCUCAACCUUGGAACGCCGGUGGAUACUGUCGAGCUCGAGUCCGGAAGAGGCGAGUGGAAUUCCUGGUGUAGCGGUGAAAUGCGCAGAUAUCGGGAAGAACACCCGUGGCGAAGGCGGUUCUCUGGGACGGUACUGACGCUGAGACGCGAAAGCGUGGGGAGCGAACAGG
rnacentral:rRNA from 1 species